rnacentral:rRNA from 1 species
GACGAACGCUGGCGGCGUGCCUAAUACAUGCAAGUAGAACGCAGUUGCGAACGGGCGAGUAACUCGUAGGUAACUUCCUGGUAGCGGGGGGUAACUAUUGGAAACGAUAGCUAAUACCGCAUACUACCAGAUGGACAUGCGUUUUAUUAGGUAGUUGGUGGGGUAACGGCGCAACAAGGCAACGAUACAUAGCCGACAUGGGAGGGUUGUCGGCCACACGGGGAAUGGGAAACGGCCCAGACUCCUACGGGAGGCAGCAGGAGGGAAUCUUCGGACAUGGACGGAAGGCUGACCGAGCAACGCCGCGUGAGUGAAGAAGGUUUUCGGAUCGUAAAGCUCUGUUGUGAGAGAAGCGGUAUCUUACCAGAAAGGGACGGCUAACUACGUGCCAGCAGCCGCGGUAAUAC